rnacentral:rRNA from 1 species
GAUCAUGGCUCAUGAUGAACGCUAGCUACAGGCUUAACACAUGCAAGUCGAGGGGCAGCAUGGUCUUAGCUUGCUAAGGCUGAUGGCGACCGGCGCACGGGUGAGUAACACGUAUCCAACCUGCCGUCUACUCUUGGGCCAGCCUUCUGAAAGGAAGAUUAAUCCAGGAUGGCAUCAUGAGUUCACAUGUCCGCAUGAUUAAAGGUAUUUCCGGUAGACGAG